rnacentral:misc_RNA from 1 species
AACGCAAAUUGCGCUCUCGGGAUAGGCCUGAGAGCCCGCCUCUUUGAGUAUCGAUUCCACCACCUCCAGAACAAACUGAUUUCGAUUGGUUUUGCGCUGGGAAUUUGAGUGCUUCACAUCGUCAGAUGCGUCACUUGAAGCGUAAUGGAAUUGAGGGUCUUGCGAAACUGCUGUUGAAUGUCAGUUGCUGAAGUGGACUUGAACAUGGAUAAAUUUCCAAUGAUCAAUAAACUUUGGCUAGAAUUCUAAGUUUUGCAAACAAGAAGCCCUCUCCUAACUAAUUUUUUAAUUAUCUAAGAAUUAGAUCUCAAAUGAAGCGAGACAACCCGCUGAACUUAA